AGUCUGUCAUUACCUAGGAAACAAUAAGCAUAUUUACAAUUACCUAUUUUUCAGGGAUCAUUUGGACCUAUUAAGGCUAAACAUUGUCUUGACAUUACAUUUCUGCCACAGUAGUACAUAAUGCCCCCCUUUCACAUUGCCAUUUUAGGUUGCUAGGCAAUAAUGAAAAUUAAAUUAGGAGCAUUUUUAUAAAUCUCUUUUGAAAGCAGAUUCUCUGUAACUAGAAAUAUUAAAGGCACAUGAGCUUAAAUAACCUACAAAUUAACUUGACAUUUCAUUCCUUUACAUUUUACAGAUCCCAAUUAGGUAUUUGUGACCUUUCAGACUUUCAGAGCUUUCUGUCUGCACUAUAUAAGCUUUUCUUUUUUGGGGGAAGAUUUUUAAAUUGACUUUUAAAGAGAGAAAAGGAGAAAGAAACAACAAUGUGAGAGCGAAACAUUGAUUAGCUGCUUCCUACACAUCCCCCACUGGGGACUGAGCCAAAACCUGGGCAUGUGCCCUGACUGGGAAUCGAACUGGCAACCUUUUAGUGCAUGGAAUGAUGCCCAACCAACUGAGUCAUACUGGCCAGGGCCAUAAGCUUUUCUUAAUACAAGCAUAUGGUUAAGUUAUGAAGUAUUCUUGUGGGCCAAUCCAAAUAUUUUGGAUAUUAAUGCUACCUGAGUCUUUAAUGCUUACAUAAAGCUUUCAUUCUAAUUAAGCUAUUGAUACUUAUAACAAUAUACUGAAGGACGCCGGGACCGAAAAGGGGGAAUAUACUAAUCAAAUCCUGGAAUGAGCUAGGUAAAAACCUAAUUGUAUGCAAGAUCUUUCAUAUAAAUGGCUCCAACUGAUUAGUAGAAAUAACUUAAAAGUAAUGAUCAUAUACACAGAUCUUUCAGAACUGAACAGAGAACAAUUCUUUAAAAUGCUUCUUAGGGGAAAAAUAAGUUUUGAGAAGUAGUUUUGAAUCAGAAGCCUUUCAUCUUAUGAGUCAGUGUCUAUAAAAAAUUUCACAGGUAUCUAAAAUUCUACCUUCUUCAAGCCAGGCAGUAGCUUUGUAAUAAGCUCAUACUUAGGCUUGCCCAAGUGCAAGUAAACUUUACAAAGCUAGAUGAUCUAAUAAAAUUCCAUCUUCCCAAAGCCAAACAUAUUUUUGGUGCCUGUUUAGAAAAUAGGGGAAAAUAUAGUAGGUGCAUACCACCUACUGGGCUCUAUCACCCAUUCCAUCAUUCUAUUGCAAUAAAGGACUAUCACUAAGAACCUCCUCUUAAUUAUUUGCAUUCUCAGCAUCAAGAAAAAAGAUGUGAGCAAAAGCUUUUUUUUAUGCUGUUAUCUCUCUAUAUAAGUAGCUAGAUGUUUCUAACAGUGGCUAUAUAUGUCCCUCCCAUAUAUCUGCUGCCAAGAAACAGUAUGAGGCUAGCCCUGGUAGGUGUGGCUCACUGGCUGAGCGUCGACCUAUGAACCAGGAAGUCACUGUUUGAUUCCCACUCAGGGCAUAUGCCUGGGUUGCAGGCUCGAUCCCCAGUGUGGGGCAUGCAGGAGGUAAGCAAUCAAUGAUUCUCUCUCAUUGAUAUUUCUAACUCUCUCUCCCUCUCCUUCCCUCUCUGAAAUCAAUACAAAUAUAUAUUUUUUAAAAGUUUGGGGCUAGUGAAACUCCUAGCAUCAAGUAAAAGUAGUAUGUUGUUUCAUUGGCUAAUCAGUAUAAAUUAAACUAUGGCCAAGAAAAAUUGUGCUCUGGCCCUAGCCAGUUUGGCUCAGUGGAUAGAGCGUCGGCCUGUGGACCAAAGGGUCCCGGGUUCGAUUCCGGUCAAGGGCACCUACCUUGGUUGCAAGCUCCUCCCUGCCCUGGGCCCCAGUCGGGGCUCAUGCAGGAGACAACUAAUUGACAUCCAUCACAUUGAUAUUUCUCUCCAUCUUUCCCUCUCUUUUCCACUGUUCCUAAAAAUCAAUGGAAAAAUAUCCUUGGGCCAGGAUUAACAACAAAAAAAAGAGAGA